GCUCUCCUUCCUUCCAUCCAGAUCUGCCACAAUGUGGAAGAAUUUCAAGGAGAAUCUCUCCCAGAUGGCGUCCGAGGUGCUCGAGACGGUCGAGGAGCUCGAUCCGAAGGCGCAUCGCGAGGAGGACGAGGAGGGAGAUUCUUCGCCGGCGGUGUCUGGCAGCUCCAGAUCGCAGCAGGCCGGCAGAGGAUUCCACAGCCGGCGGAGAUCUGAGGAUGGUUUCCAGAAUUUUGAUCAUCGCUCUUGGAGGAAUCGGGAUUACAAGGAAAGGAACGGCGUGGGAGCAGACGAUUUCGGGGACUACGAGUCACGCUUGCUGGAGAGCCAGAGGAAGUGUCAGGAUCUUGCGAAUCGCGAGAAGGAGCUGCUAGAUCAAAUGCGGGGCAAGGAACAAGCGUUCCGGGACCUAGAUAACAGCCAUCGUAGUGCGCAGCAAGAGCUGGAGAGGCUUACGAUAGAACUGGAGAAAGCUCGUUUGGAGUUACAUAGUUUCCAACAAAGUGGCUGUCUGGGAAAUCAUGAUGAGAGGACUGCUACUCAACCAGAUGCUGAGAAACUACAAAGGGAGUUACAAGAGAGGGACGAAACAAUCAGUCAGCUUCGAGAAUCAAUAUCAGCACUGACGACCGAGCGCAGUCUCUUCCAGGCAGAAAAGGAACAGCUGAAAAAGGCUUUAGAUUCACGCGAGCUUGAACUGCAGCAGCAAGCUACUUCUGCAGAAAAAACGACGAGUGAACCAGAGGUUGUCCAGAUUGAAAUGUUGAGAGCUCAAGCUCAACAGGCGGAUGUCCUUUCAGUGCAACUGCGAACCGCGGAGGAAAUUCUCGAGAAUGAGAGGAACGACUUCAGAAAGAAGCUCGAGGCUGUCACAUUGGAGAAGGAUAAAGCUCUUAACAACCUCAACAGGUUAAAGCAGCACCUUUUGGAUAAGGAAAAUGCCGACUCAGAAAAAAUGGACCGAGAUAGCGAGCAGAUUGCUAUACUUGAAGGAAAAUUUUCAGCAACUUGUGCCCGUGUUAUACAGCUGGAGCAAGCGUUAGCGCAGGCUUUAUCUUCUCAAACUGAUACCAGUAAACGAUUGAAUGAAGAUUUGCAGGCAUCGAAGGUGGAGAUUGAAUCUCUAAAGUCUAAGCUUGUGAACUCUUAUUCCGUCUUGGAGGCUAGAGACAAGGAGAUAGCCAAUCUCCAAGUGGCACUUGGGCAGUACUAUGCAGAAACUGAUGCGAAGGAGCGCCUUCAACGAGAACUCAAUACUGCAAAGGAAGAUCUCAGGAAGUUUUCGGACAGUUUGGAAGCAGCAAAGCGGAUGGUUGAGGUAGUAGAAGCACAGAAGAAAGAAGCUGUAGAGAAACUACACAUCGAGGAACGACAAGGGCUUGAAAAUCAACAAAAAACACAGAAAAUGCAAGAAGACAUGAUCAGGUUACGCCGUGCUCUGGAAGAAAGCAUGAUCCGUCUAAACAGGAUGUCUUCAGAUUCAGAUUAUUCCGUAGACAGGCGCAUUGUCAUCAAAUUGCUCGUGACAUAUUUUGAGAGAGGACAUAACCGCGAGGUUCUUGAUUUAAUGGCCCGUAUGCUGGGGUUCUCCGACGAUGAUAAACGAAGGGUUGGACUCGCUCAUCAAAAUUCUGGGAAACCGGGUGUUAUGAGAAGCGUUUUUGGCCUCCCAAGGCGUGUCGUCGGAGGUAUCUUAUCUGGCGGUAAUGACAAUUCGUCUUUUACGACAAGCAAUGAUCAGUCAUUUGCGGACCUUUGGAUCGAUUUCUUGCUGAAAGAAUCCGAGGAAAGAGAAAAGGCUCAAAACUCAGGGUUGGGUGCAAGAAGCCCGCAAAGCGAUUUUCAUUCUUCAGCUUUUAACACCGGGUUUGAAAGUGAUGGUGGUUUAGAAGCUGACAUUUCAGGAGUUAGAGGCCACAGGAGGGUCUAUUCCAAAUCCUGAUAGAAAGUUUUCCAGUUGCUCUUGCAGCUCGAGGCAUCCGGAUGUUUUUUUCUUAUAUAUUCCUUGCCUGGAUAUGCAAAAUUAACUGAUUCGAUACAAUCGAUUUGAUUCUUUUGGCUCUCGUGCUCCAGUAACAAUUCCGGCUACGCAACUACCCUGCAAGAGAGAAUAAAACAGCGGUCUUGCAACGAG